rnacentral:lncRNA from 1 species
AAAAAACAUAUCAGCUGUCACUCAUAUGUUGUGGAUUAUAAACAUAUAGCAUAGUAUGUAUUGAUUUUAUUUAUAAUUACCACAUGAAUGCAUAACAUUGUGUAUUGACCUUGCUUGAUCGUUUAAAUGGAUUAAUUACAAAUAUUAAGUCAGAGUGAUAUUUGACUACAUUGCAGGAAAUUUUAGUAUAACAUCUACCAUGGUAAGUAUACAUUAUAUAUAUCAUCAGACUAUUGUUGGCGAUUAUUGAAAAUGUAAAUAUAUAUAUAUUGAGUAAUGGCUACUGUUGAAGAAACAGCGACGAGGUGACGGAUUGUUCUAUAAAUACUUAGCUGUUAUGGCAUAUGCACACGCAUCAAUACUGCAACAAUAGAUCACAAUAGGAAUUAUACAUACAAUGAAACAAAAGGUUUCACGUUACUGUUGAUUUAACAGUGUAUUUUUACAAUAGGAAAAAACACCAUCUUUGCUUUAGAUAUGUUUUUAUAAUCCCAAGAUAAGAGAGACCCCGUCAGUGUCGGAACCAAAAGGGGAGGUACGGGGGUUAAAACCCUUUUUUUUACAAUCAAUGCAUUUGAAUGGGGACAUAUGGUUGGAAACCCCUUUGUCUUGGAUUGGGAACCCCCUUUGUCUUGGGUUUGGAACCCCUUUGUUUUGGGUUUGGUACCCCCUUUCAAAAAUGGCUGGAUCCGCCCCCUGUCCGUAAAAACUACAUGCUCAAAAUUAUCCCCAAGAAAUGAAAGAUUAUAUUAAACUACGUCGACAUGUUUUACUUGAGUAAAUCUCGAGUUUCGUAGAUUUCUCUAUUUCAUUUUGUGGACGAUUGUCUGUCAUCACGACGCGUUGCGGGAGAUAUAGAAAUACCAUGCACCGUUCGUACGUCUGUGUGAGUCUGUCCUCCGUGUCUUGUGUUUCAGCAUUGUUGAAGGACGUAGUGAUCAAUUAUAGUUAUUUACUUCUAUGUCAUUUUGUCUCUGGUGGAGAAAUAUCUCUUAAUUAUACCAAAUUUUCUUAUUUCAUAUUAAGUAAACGCUCUCACGUGUACAAUUCCAGUCAGCUUUUGAUCAAACGUAUACCAACUAUAUCAGCAAUCAUGUCUAUGGCAUUUUCAAAAAUCAGUACAUGCCGAUCAACUAUUUUUAAGAGAGUUAUGCCCUAGUAAAUAUUAAUUUUAUUGAGAAAAAAAAGGAUGUGUCAGUUAAGUUCAUGGACAGUCAAAAUAUGUUCAACACGAGGAAGGGGGGCAUUGAAACUCUGUCUUUUAUGAGGAAGGGGGGCAUUGAAACUCUGUCUUUUAUGAGGAAAGGGGGCAUUGAAACUCUGUCUUUUAUGAGGAAGGGGGGCAUUGAAACUCUGUCAUUUAUGAGGAAGGGGGGCAUUGAAACUCUGUCUUUUAUGAGGAAGGGGGCAUUGAAACUCUGUCUUUUAUGAGGAAGGGGGGCAUUGAAACUCUGUCUUUUAUUUUUUCGAUUGUCCUAUUUGUUAGUCUUUCUUUGUCAUUUUCGUUUUGUUUCAUAGUAUAAUCUUACAUUUUUCUUCAACCUGUGGCAGUAUAUAUGUCUAACUAAAAUAUCCCCUUUUCCCAAAAAUACUGCAAAAUUGUUUUACGUAUUAAUGCAAAAGUAAAAGCUUGUCUAUCUUCUACCUUUCGAUAAUAGUUUAUAAACCUGCACCCCAUGACAAAAUCUGAUACUUGAUAUGACUCUCAUUAUUAUUACUUUUUAUUUCAUAUUUAUUUGAAUCUUUUAAACUAAUUUCUAAAGUUUCAGUUGUAAAGUAUCUUAGUUAUGUAGUUUGUGUACAGAGAAUUAUGGAAAUAUGUGACCUAAGUGUAAACACUAAUUUUGGUCCUUACAGAGAAUGGUCCUUAAGUUCUUUGGUGUCCUGGUCGCUAUGUAUGUUUCUUUGUCAUAUACAUAUGUUGGUCCGUAAACUUGUUUCGUGUUGGUCCGUACACUUGAAUUGCUUUCGUGACGUCCGUUCAUUUUCCAUGCGUCCGUCCGUACAUAUGUCUCGUAUUGGUUCGUACACUUGUCUUGUGUUGGUCUGUACAGUUUGUAUGUGUUGGUUCGUACACUUGUGUUGUGUUGGUCCGUAUACUUUGCUUGUGUUGGUCCAUACACUUGUCAUGUGUUGGUCCGUACCAAUUGGUCCAUACACAUGUUUUCGUUUGAUCCGUACACAUGUCUUUUUCAUGUUACUUUUGUGUUUGUCUAUUUGCAUAAGUUUUUCUUUUAAUAAUUAUAAUUAAAGGCGUGUCGAUAUAUCAUAAUAAUCAAACUCUUGAACAACAGCAAAAGACUUUUUUUCGUGCAAAAACAAAAUAUUUCUAUGGACAACAGGUCGCACAUUGUAAUUCACUCAGUUGCUUCGGAUGAAUAAUUAAUAUUUGAUAAAGAUUUUAAAACAAGGCAAAUUGAUCUGAAGGUAAACUAGGUGCUUUGGAUCAGUAAGCAGUUCAUAUAUACUCUCCUGUUCAAAUAUAUGAUAAAGCGCAUUAAACCUUAAUUUGUAAAUUUGUAAAUGACCUUUCGGUAAUAUUACGUCCACAGAUAAGAGACUUAAUUGCAUGCCAUAUUACAGUACACGUCACCUUAAUAUACAGGGUUGAUAUACUUUGACCAAGAAACAGGACACUGAAAAGUGUAGCUUUGCCUCUUCACGGCCGACACUCGGCUAACCGAGAGAUUGGUCGGUUAAUCUUUAUUGAGUAUAUGGCUAUAUCGGAGGUGGGUCUGUUAAUCGGGUUGGCUAAAGUCUGUUAAUCAGGUGUUAUCGAGGAAAUCAUUGGAAAUUCUACAUGUUUCAUUGUAUAACUUUUUAAAUAUAUGUUUAUCAUAAAAAUAAUUCAUGUCUAACAAAACAAUUCAAUGUACUGAAUCCAGUGGUGUAAUUAUCAUUUUUCUAGCUUCGAUGUACGAUCUAUAAAAUGAAAAGGCGUGUUACUCAUCAAUAAAUUUAUACACAUUUUACACACACAAAAUGUACACAAAGAGACACGUUGGUUGAAUUUACUUAUAUACGAUAUUUUGAACAUCGAACAAAGACAGGCAUUAUGUUUGUCAACCAAAUUGAUAUCAUUGUGUGAAAAAUCUACACAAAAAAUCUGUACUUAGAUGACAUAAAUCAAUUUUAUUUAAAACCUGGUCUGUUUAAUGGGUCGGAUGUAUAACCCGGUCUGUUAAUUGGUCUGUUAAGAGUUAUGAAUGGCAAUACACGUAUAAUUUUAUUGCUGUAUGAGGUGUUAUCGGAUCAAAUGGGUAGGCUCAAGACGAGUGGCUAAAAUAUACGGAAACACAUGAGCAAUGAACAUAAUAUAUACGGAACACUGACAUGAACAAUGAAUUUAGGCCAUGAAUAUUGAAAACUGAUUAUAAAAAAGUGUAAUAUUAAAGUAUUAUUAUACAUCAUUUAAAAAUGCCAUAUUUUGAUUGUCCUAAUACGAAGGUUUAAUUUACUCUAUCACAUGGCUGAGCGGGUGACAAUUUUUUGGAAUGUCACCCUCUUGGCUAGAUCAAUCAAAAAUCGGCAGUUUAAACGACAAUGAAUUGAAUCUACAUCAAGUUAUUUUAUAGACAAUGCUUAAAGUUCUAAUUUACUAUAACAACGAGCGUGAACGACUCAAACUUUUUCUUUACAAUUGUUGGAAAACGUAUUUCACUUGUUAAUAUUUUUACUUUAAUUCCUAUAAAUCAUUGUGUGUUAUGCUUAUUGUUGAUAUUAAACGCAUUCGUUCACCAUCGAUGGGUUUCAACUGGUGAUGCACAUUUCAUCAUGUUCAUUGUGAUGUAUAUUCCUCAGCCAGAUAUGAGGCCUUUUGAAAGGGGUAUUUACCCAAAAUUUAAAUAAAUAAAUAACAAUAACAAAAUAACAACAUUGAAAAUUAUUUUUUUUUCUUGAUAGCAGAGCUUUUUUCCCGUUUCGGGCCUAAUCCUUGUAUCGUUUAUAUGUCAAGUCAAUGCACUACUAUUGUCUAUUUACUUCACUUCUGAUGAUUUUUCAAAUACCCGUUAGGCUGUCAAGUACGUGACUACAUAGAAAAUACUUUAUAAUAAAACUCAUCUGUUAAAGAAAAUGAUGAUAGGACAUUCAUUAUAAUAAAUCAACUAUCACAUAGCUGAGAGGGUGAUGGAGCAGAUCGGUAUCCCUCGAAAAAACAUUGUCAACCUUGGCUUCGCCGCGGAUGACAAUGUUUUCUCGGGACCCAAUCUGCUCUAUCACCCUCUCAGCUAUGUGUUAAUAUUUAUAUCUUAUCACAUAUUUGUUACGGAUACGGAUAAAUUUUUUAAGAUUACCUGUUAUGUUUUUAAAUUGUUUAUAAUUGACCUUUUUUCCCCUCUUUUCUGCAACACUUAAAUAUGUGAUAAAUAGCUUAAAGAUUAUAACAUGUUUUUCAUAUUUCCCCCUGGUAUUUCCCUCGACCAUAUCGGCCCUCGGCUAAGCCUCGAGGCCGAUAUGGGAGUCUCGGGAUGAUACCAGCGCUAUAUAGAAAGGGCAUGUUAUAAUCUAUACAUAUUGAUUUCAUCCAAGAAUGGUCGCAUACAUCUUUAUCAUGUGGAUUCUUUUUAGGUGGUCAUGAAUGACACUAAUUUGUAUCUAAAUUGGUAUUAACCAGUAUAUAAUCAGAGAUAAACGUCGUAAUGUAACUAACAUCAGUAAGUAAAAUAUAUUGGGAUGCUAGCAUAUAUAAAGAAUAAAGAAAUAAUAAUGAGUAAGAUAAAAUAAAAUGUAGAGAAAAGUAACAGACAAUUUAAAGAAUAUAGAAAUAAACAACACCCCCAAUCCAGACCCUCAUUGUAUACACGAGAAUCUGGAUGGAAACACAGAAUAUAUAGAAUAAUAGAUAAGGACAGUAGGAAGUGAUGCAUUAAUAAACAAGAAUGUGUCCUCAGUACACGAAUGCCCCACUCGCAUGCACUAUCAUUUUCUAUGUUCAUUGGACCGUGAAAUUGGAGUAAUAUCUCUAAUUUGGCAUUAAAAUUAGAAAGAUCAUAUCAUAGGGAACAUGUGUAACAAGUUUGAAGUCGAUUGGACUUCAACUUCAUCAAAAACUACCUUAACCAAAAACUUUAACCUGAAGCGGGACAGACGGACGAACGGACGGACGGACAGACGGACAGACGGACGGACGGUACGAUGGACGGACGAUACGACGGACGGACGGACGGACGAACGGACGCACAGACCAGAAAACAUAAUGCCCCUCUACUAGCGUAGGUGGGGCAUAAAAAAGAUAGAAAAAAAUAAUAACUGUUUGAGAAUAAAGACAUAACACCCCUGGUGUUGAAACAGUAACGGAUUGCAUGUACUCAUAUUGGUAAUAAAUGCUAAAAGUUUACAUGCGGACAACUGCAGUUCUCCUCUGCACUUAUGUAGAAAGGAACUAAACGGAAUAAAAUGAAUUAAAACUUAAGAUAACCAAAUGUAGCUGUAUUGCUCCUUUCCAUUUACUUCUUAGACUAUUUGUAAACAACAGAUGAUUCAUAAUAGAAGAAAGAACAAUCGAUAAUGUUGACGAUUAGAGUUUAACGUCCAGUGACAAAUAUCAUGUGCAUAUGAGAACGACAACAUGUUAUAUGUACCCUGUGUUGUAUUAUAAAGAUACUUUCGGACGGAUUUGAGAACGUGCUACUUUGAACAGACACAAAAAUUAAGGCUGAAGAAAACGUUAAUAAUAGAUUCAUGCAUAUUCCAGCAGGCAAUCCAUAUACAUAUAUUGAAGUGACACACCCCUUAAUAAAAUGCAAAGGAAGUCAAAAUAAAAAUGUUCUUACUAGAAGGAUACUGUUGCAGCGUAUAGUCAUUUUUUUUUACUCAAGAGCAUCUCAUUCUUAACUUUUUCAAAGGGAAAAUAUAAAGGUAGCAUAACUAUUGUCGUGGCUAAAUAACUCUUAACUGACACAAUUUCAAUUUCCAACCCAUUAACAGACUUUAUUCCCAUAAUGUUCACUGAACGUGGUAUUACUCACGUUAUAUACAAUAUGAAUAUUUACUAAAUUCAAUUUAUAUUUAGAACAAAGUACAUUUUGUAUCCUUUAAAUGAAUAUCUAAAAUGUUUUUUUCGCCUUUCAUUACAAAAAUUGCUAUGCGUAUAAGCAUAAAUUCUACAUACUUGCGCGACGCCUUUUAGUUUUACUGAAAACUGCGCAGACUAUGAAAUGUUUUACAGUUGGAAAAAAUGUUCUAUGAUAUAAUCAUUUUGUCAGCACUUUUCUUUUUUUGAUUUGAAUUCUUAUAAUGUACCUAAAAUCUGUAUAUUAAAUAUAUUUUAAUAGUAAAAUUGUGCGUUUUACUCUUAACAGACGUAUAACCAACCCGAUUAACAGACCAACCGCCGAUAUAGCCGCAUACUCAAUAUAGAUUAACCGACCUAUCUCUCGGUUAGCCGAGUGUCGGCCGUGCUCUUACCGAUACACAAUGCAUUAUAAGUAAACUAUAUAUACUGUUCCAGGUUAGAGGAGGGAAUUGGUGCGCCUUUUAACUUGUUAAAUCCCGCCACAUUCUAUAUGUGCCUGUCCCAAGUCAUGCAGAAUCCUUAAGUUUAUUGGUUGCCGUUUGUUCCUGUAUAGCAGGACAUUAGUUUUCUCGUUUGAGUGGUUUAACCUUUGUUAUUUCGAGGCCUUAUAUAGCUGGCCAUGCGAAAUGUGUUAAACUCAUUGUUGAUCGCCGUACAGUGACCAAUAGUUGUUAAUUUCUGUGUCAUUUGGUCUCUCCUUAUUUUCAUAUAUGAACUUACUACAAGUAUUGAAUUUAAACUUUUAUUCAAAACAUCGCAAACUUCGCAAUCGUAUUGUUUUUUUUAGAACUGGCACUAGCGCUACCCUGGUGCAAAACUAAUUUCUUUGCAUGCAGAAUCUUUUUUCUUCAAGUUUGUUAAUUUUUCCUUUGGUAUUGUCAACUUAAGUUUCAGCAAAAUCGUCUUCAAAUUAACAGAUCUGGCCUCACGGUCAUAAAACUUUCGAGCAUGAUUUUUGUACUCAGACUCGAAUAUCAACCAAUCAAAUUGCUGGAUUUCAUGUUUCGAGCAUGAUUUUUGUGCUCCGAGCACUGAGCAAAGUUGUAUGCCUUCAAGGCCUGAUGUAUCAUCUGAAAUAUAGAAAUGCUCCUACUACUAUCAUAUUGUUAGUCUGUUGUAAUUACUAACUUAUAUAAAAGUUUAUAAUGAUCAAUGACCUGAAAUGGCCUCGAAUACACUUGAAAUUGAUGUCUAGGCUACAAAUACGAUAGGCCGAACAGUAAAACUGCGUCAAAUCGAAAUAAACUGUUUAUAUAAUAUUUGCUGUACUUUGUAAAUUAAUUACAAAUUAAUUUUUUUCGAAGUAAUUAAUAUGAUUAUGAGCUUUGAUUAAAUUGUCAUCGAUUUUCAAAAGGAAAAUGAUGACUGAGAAAAUAUUAUAUAGACAUAUUUAUAAUCACCCAAGAACUUCAUGAAACUUAUCUAGGUUAUGUUAUCCUUUAAAACUGUUUAACUCUAUAUAAGAUUUUGAAUAUAAUAGCCAGUAAAACAUUAAGGUCAUUUUCGAGGUCAUUUCAGGUCAUCUGUUAUAAUUGAUAUUAAUUUGGGUAUUUUUUUAUACAAAUACAAUGGUGAGUAAAAAUUAUGAUUAGCAAUAUAAGAUUCGGAAAUUUUUGAUAGAUGUUUACAGAAAAUUUUCCUAAAUUUGUAGAUUUGAAAGAAACAUACAGUUUAUGUUUAACAACUUUUACGUGAAAAAAAAUCAUACCUUAUGGAAAACAAAAUAACUAAAAGCUAGUGUAAGUCUAGUUCAGAGGAUCAAAUAAACGAGGUAA